rnacentral:rRNA from 1 species
CCUACGGGAGGCAGCAGUGGGGAAUAUUGGACAAUGGGCGGAAGCCUGAUCCAGCCAUGCCGCGUGUGUGAAGAAGGCCUUUUGGUUGUAAAGCACUUUAAGCGAGGAGGAGGCUACUAGUAUUAAUACUACUGGAUAGUGGACGUUACUCGCAGAAUAAGCACCGGCUAACUCUGUGCCAGCAGCCGCGGUAAUACAGAGGGUGCGAGCGUUAAUCGGAUUUACUGGGCGUAAAGCGUGCGUAGGCGGCUGAUUAAGUCGGAUGUGAAAUCCCUGAGCUUAACUUAGGAAUUGCAUUCGAUACUGGUCAGCUAGAGUAUGGGAGAGGAUGGUAGAAUUCCAGGUGUAGCGGUGAAAUGCGUAGAGAUCUGGAGGAAUACCGAUGGCGAAGGCAGCCAUCUGGCCUAAUACUGACGCUGAGGUACGAAAGCAUGGGGAGCAAACAGGAUUAGAUACCCUGGUAGUCCAUGCCGUAAACGAUGUCUACUAGCCGUUGGGGUCUUUGAGACUUUAGUGGCGCAGCUAACGCGAUAAGUAGACCGCCUGGGGAGUACGGUCGCAAGACUAAAACUCAAAGAUAGUUACGGCGNGNGAGNGCGACGACGACGACGAGGAGGAGGAG